rnacentral:rRNA from 1 species
AUGUUUGCCAUAAUUUCAAAGCUAAACUUCCAUGUGAUCGUAGGUUGUUAUGGUGCAGCCACACCAGCAGAGGUCUCAUGGCAAACCUCACCAUUGCAGGCGAUCUAUAAUGCAGAUACAGUGCACCAAAUUGAAGUGGCACACCAGCUUCGAUUAGAACAUGUGGCACAUCAAGGAGCUUCAACUACAGUCAACAGUGGCGCAGGAACAUCUACUGCGGGAACCUCAGAGCACACUGAAGGAGCACUCCAUGAGCAAGUCACCGAUGUUGCCACAAACAAUGCAGAAUCAGUGUCAGAAAUGGCAAUCAUUGCAGCAAUGACGACAAGGACACCUCUACACACCAGCACAAAGCAACACUAA